rnacentral:rRNA from 1 species
AUUGAACGCUAGCGGCAUGCUUUACACAUGCAAGUCGAACGAGUGGCGGACGGGUGAGUAAUAUCUCGGAACGUGCCCGAUGGCGGGGGAUAACUACUCGAAAGGGUGGCUAAUACCGCAUACUAUUGGAGCGGCCCAUAUCGGAUUAGCUAGUUGGUGGGGUAACGGCUCACCAAGGCCACGAUCCCUAGCUGGUCUGAGAGGACGACCAGCCACACUGGGACUGAGACACGGCCCAGACUCCUACGGGAGGCAGCAGUGGGGAAUAUUGGACAAUGGGGGAAAGCCUGAUCCAGCCAUGCCGCGUGUAUGAGAAGGCCUUCGGGUUGUAAAGUACUUUCGGCAGAGAAGCGUUAUCUGCAGAAUAAGCACCGGCUAACUACGUGCCAGCAGCCGCGGUAAUUC